ensembl:piRNA 21ur-2902 ncRNA
UGCUUGAGGUGAAUUGUAGUC